rnacentral:rRNA from 1 species
ACUCCUACGGGAGGCAGCAGUGGGGAAUAUUGCACAAUGGGCGCAAGCCUGAUGCAGCCAUGCCGCGUGUGUGAAGAAGGCCUUCGGGUUGUAAAGCACUUUCAGUUGUGAGGAAGGUGGUGUCGUUAAUAGCGGCAUCAUUUGACGUUAGCAACAGAAGAAGCACCGGCUAACUCCGUGCCAGCAGCCGCGGUAAUACGGAGGGUGCGAGCGUUAAUCGGAAUUACUGGGCGUAAAGCGCAUGCAGGUGGUUUGUUAAGUCAGAUGUGAAAGCCCGGGGCUCAACCUCGGAACUGCAUUUGAAACUGGCAGACUAGAGUACUGUAGAGGGGGUAGAAUUUCAGGUGUAGCGGUGAAAUGCGUAGAGAUCUGAAGGAAUACCGGUGGCGAAGGCGGCCCCCUGGACAGAUACUGACACUCAGAUGCGAAAGCGUGGGAGCAAACAGGAUUAGAUACCCUGGUAGCACAGAG